rnacentral:lncRNA from 1 species
GGAGGGCUGGGGGAAGGGACCCGGACUAGAACAACUGCUGACUAAUCCGCGGGCCGCGGGGAAUGGGUGGCGCGCCAGCCGGUCGGCAGGGGUCACGCGGCCGGGUGUGCGCGGAAUGGAUUCAGGGUUCUCGGGUCGCGCCCGGGAGCUAGAGUCCUGACUCCCAGCCGGGGUCCCCGACCGGCCUUUCGGGGUUGCCGGGCGCGCUCUGCAAAGGGGAAACUGAGGCCCAAGGAAAUUGAGUAUCUCUGCAAAGUCACCAGCUGAGUUCGAACCAGACAGAUCCUGGGACCCCCUACUCUAUCCGCCACCGGAAGAAUCUCCGUCCUUGUCUUUCCAUUCUGCCCUCCCGGCUUCCCAGUAAGCACACAGCCCCAGGACCACCCUUGACCGUCCUCAACCAAGCGAUGCAUGCCAGGGGCCCCCAUGGCCAACUGUCCCCAGCACUGCCUCUGGCCUCCUCAGUCCUGAUGCUGCUGAUGAGCACCCUGUGGCUGGUGGGGGCCGGCCCCGGCCUGGUCCUGGCCCCGGAGCUGUUGCUGGACCCCUGGCAGGGUGAGGGCCAGCCACGUGGACCUUGGAGGAAGCAGGAGACUUGCUGUAGGGCCUGGGCCCACUUGGCAGGAGCAGCACAAGGCCUCCAGGGGUCAAACAGGGAUGGGGCCCAGUGUCCCGGGAAAGCAUGGCCUUAGACAGGAGCAUGCCCAGCACAUCCACAGCCAAGAAGGGAGGCAGAGGACUCCCUAGGGUGGGCUGGAACCUAUGGGUAGGAGUGCUUUUCUCAUGGUUUCCCUUUCUAGCAGCUUUUCCUUGAAAUAAGAACUAAGGCCAGGUGGCUGACGCCUGUAAUCCCAGCACUUUGGGAAGCUGAGGCAGGUGGAUCACUUGAGGUCAGGAGUUCGAGACCAGCCUGGCCAACAUGGUUAAACCCUGUCUCUACUAAAAAUACAAAAAUUGGCCGGGCGCAGUGGCUCACUCCUGUAAUCCCAGCACUUUGGG